rnacentral:snRNA from 1 species
AUUAUUUUUCAGUGGCAGUAUCGUAGCCAAUGAGGUUUAUCCGAGGCGCGAUUAUUGCUAAUUGAAAACUUUUCACAUAUA